rnacentral:tRNA from 1 species
GGCUCCAUCGUCUAUCGGUUAGGACAGCGGCUUUUCAAGCCGUUAAGAGGGGUUCGACUCCCCUUGGGGCUACCA